CUCCUCCCGCGAGGCUUCAACUUCCGGCUGAUGGAUUGAGAGGUGGGACAUCCUAUCAUUGCUUUUGGACUGAAUGCAAGGUUGGGCUGCAUGUGAUCUGUCAUGUGAUAGGACAGCAAACAGCACCUCAGAUUUAUCAGAAGGCCAAACCAAACAGACCUGCCAGAUUUGUCAUUGCAGACUCGGAGAUGUUCAACAGAGCUCAAACCGAUGCAGAGAAGAAAGAGGGCUGACUUUGGUCUCCAUGAAUUCAAUGCUGCGUUUAUAAAUUGCUGCGCCGACAAUCAAGCACUUGGCAUAAAAAAGUGAGUCAUGAUGGAAGGAACAGCCAAUCAGACACUUAUUUCUCAGUUGGAGGUUGAAUAGAAUUAAAAACCAUGAUGGACAAAAGUGAGAAGUUUCUCUGUACUUUUGGAUGUCUUGAGUGAAAGAGC